CAUCACCUCGUCUCCUCUUUACCCAGGCGUACCCUGUGACGACGGCGUCGGUCUCAGAGCACGGCCGAAGCGUGCGGCCCGAGGACCCGGUCAUUCUUAGGAGGCGACUAGGAGACAGCAGCCCGGUGACAGCAGGAACCUCCCAGACAGCCUGGUGGCCUUGCUUUGCACCUGAUGUGGAUUCUCAUUCCUGGAGAGCCAAGAGAUAAGUUGAGGGCUGUGACUUACAGAGGGGAUGGAAGGGGGCUGCUGUGUCAGGACUCAUUAGGUGGUAUUUUUGAGUCAGCUUUGGAGCUGAGGAUAUCCAGGAAAUGUUGUCUUGAGCCCACACAAAAGCAAAGUGUCGCUUUUGAUCCCAGUGCUGAGGUGCGCAGGGCAGAGCAGUCCCGGCGUGUGUUGUGUCAUGUGGCUAUUGUGCAUUAUGUGUUGUUUAAUGUCUUUUCCCUUAGCCCUUUGAGGGGCCUAACAGAAACCCUGGCAUCAUUCUUAGCAUCUGCGAUCUCUGCAUUUCUUGGCCUGGCACCAAUGCCACAGGACUUUUGACUCAGGAGCUCAGACAGGCAUCAGAAUUGCACCUCUCUUUAGGAGCAUCCAGUCAGAUGUCUUUGCAGGUCUUGUUCUGAGCUGUAUGUACCUUGCAAGGAUCCAUUAUGGCAGAUUAGGGCUUGUAAGAAUGCAAGGAUAGGUGGAGGAUGCUGACCGUAGGAUUCUCAGACAUCCAUCUUUGUAGUUCUUGGAAUAAACCAUUGUCUUAGCAGGAUAUUCCUCCAGGGUUCUGGGAGCCUCAUCAGCUCGCCAUCAGUCUCAUCUCGGUCAUCUAAUCUUGCAUUCUCUCAGUCCUUGCAGUCAUUCUUCUUGCCAAGAGAUUCCUGUCCCUGUUGUGUCCCCCUUGUUUGUCAUGUCGUGUCCUGUGUCACGGGUGUCUGCACGUAUUUGUGCCGGAGCUGCUCUGCCCUGCUGCAUAGCCUGGUGUAAUAGGACAAAUCCUGGGGGGCUUGAAAUUUGUUGUGUGCUGUAGUUGGACUCUAGAUGAUAUUCCUAGGCUGACCCAGAUGUCUGGAGCUGUGAAGUGGUCCUGCAGCCCUUUGACAUUUUUCCUAACUUUCUUUCAGAUGCAGAUGGAUAAAAUCCAUGGCAGAGCACCCCAUCCCAGGAAGUAAAGUGAUAGAGCAACAGUCAAGUUGAAGUGGUCAAGGCAAUCUACUCAGGUUAUGCCAAGCCCCUGUCAUCAACCAGCCGAUUGACCAGGUUUGCUGGUCUCAUGAGCCCUGUGGAGGUAUUGCAGGACCCUGUGAUGAAGCCUUGAAAUUUUCUAUUUA